CUGAGCCAGCGAGGCUGAUGCCCGGGAGGUAUGAGCUGCUUACACGUGAGAGUCAGGCAAGGAGGGAGCCAUGAUGCAGCUGUGGACCGGGCUGAAUGGGCGCAUGGACUCCAGCUUCUUUAUCUUCUCCUCUUCUAGCUUCUGGAGUUGCUGCUGCUUCUUUUUCAUGGCAGUUUCUUCUCGAAGUAUGUUAAAAUAUCCACGGCCUACCUUUACACACCGGAUCAGGAAUCUGAAGAAAAAAGAAGGGUCUCGUCACUGGGUAGACCUUCGGGCUGAUCCAAUAGAAACAGUCAGAGGGGUCAAAGGAGUCUUCACUACACUCGGUCCCAAGGUGACAUGGAUACAUCAGAGUGGCGGGUACCAGCAAGGCCGGGAAGCUUUUCCACACUCCUGAGACACGGAUGACACGUUCUUAGCUUUACAGCUGCUGGAAGCUGGUGGUCGGUUAAGUUAACAGACUCUAAAAAGCUCUCAUCUUUUAGUCAUGAGAUGUUAGCAAGGGAUGUCUGUUCUGCUGGGCUAGGACUCUGUGCGAUAUGGUAAAUUAGCCUCUGAACCCCCAGUAUUCCAACCUCCCCACAGUGCUGACGUUCUAACCGGCCCAUCAGUCUCUGAAGACCCAGCUUCUUUGCAGGGGUUUGUGUUCGCUGCUGACUAUAAGGGAGUCCUCAGUCUUGUCUGUGAAAUCCUUAGGAAGCUUCGAUUUACAGCUUGACAAGAAAGAAGGUUAAAAAUUCAAAGCUCACAUAUGCUGAGGCGUAAGCAUAGCUGUUUGGAGGUUCUUGCUUUAAACACCUCGUGCUGGCUGGUUUGUGUCAACUUGACACGAACUGGAGUCGUCAGAGAGGAAGGAGCCUCAGUUGAGGAAAUGCCUCCUUGAGGUCCAGCUGUAAGGCAUUUUCUCAGUUAAGUGUUCAAUGGGGGAGGACCCAGCUCGUGGUGGGUGGGCCCAUCCCUGGGCUGGUAGUCCUGGGUUCUAUAAAAAAGCAGCUGAGCAAGCCACGGGGAGAAAAUCAUAAGCAGCAACCCUGCACAGCCUCUGCACCAUGGCCUCGCCUCCAGGUUCCUGCCCUGCUUGAGUUCCUGUCCUGACUUUCUUCAGUGAUGGACUAUGAUGUGGAAGUGUAGGCCAAAUAAACUCUUUCCUUUCCAACGUGCUUCUUGGUCAUGGCGUUUCCUCACAGUUGUGGAAACCCUAAGACAAAUCGGUUCCAGUUUAGUGGAGUUAUUGCUGUGACAGACCUGACCAUGUUUUUGGGAGGACCGUGGAAGAAGUUUGGAACUCUGGGCUAGAAAAGACAUUAAAGGUUAAGAGCUCUGUGAGCUGUUCUGUAGGAGCCUGGGAGAAAAGAAUGUUGAGAGCAGUGCAGAGGAUGGGGCCUGGCUUGUGAAGUUUCACAGGAAACUUUAAAGACUCUCUUGGGGUCAUUUGUUAUUCGAAUUAAGAUUCUCUGUUUCUGUUUGGUUGGGGCUGAAGAAUCAGCUGUGAUUAACAAGAUUUCAGAACUACCGAAGGGAAACUUGGCUUUGCUGGGACACUUGAUGCUGGUCAGCUGGAGCUAAGCAAUCAGCGGUGAUUAAGAAGAGACUAGCAUGGCUGAGGUGAAGUCUUCUGGGGAGUGUUUCCUGAGAGCACAGAGAAACUGAACCAGAGGCGGCGGAGGCUGUACUUCGUGCUGACAAUGAGACUUGUGCAGCCACCAUCCAUUUUGCCACAUGAAGAAUCCUUGCAGCUGGAACACAGGCGUAGUGUGUUGGCACAGAGCUGGAAACCGGAUCCUGGUGACCAGGGGCCACCCUGUUGGUACUGCAUUGUCUUCCUCCAGAAGGUGCCUCAGAAAAGGGGGAAAUUGUGCUCUUCAUAUAAAACUUUCAGCAAACAAAAGUCCAGAAACCCUCAGGGCUGAGCCUUCUGGAAACCCUCAAGACUACCUUCCAUAGGCAAGUUGCCCGUCUGUCUUGGAGCGAGCUUCUGAUUUAGAGAUGAUGAAUUAAAACCUGUGCCGUGACAUCGUCCGAGGGAAAUGGCUGGAAACCAAAUCUGCGCUCAAAGGAAAACAGCACUGUGGUCCGUUAGGGAUGUCACGGGCUCAAGUGUGGAGGGAUGGUCACAAACUUGAAGACUAUACCAGGAGUGUAGACAGGGCCGCCUGUCAUGUGGAAAGGGAAGACGGGAGUCUACCAUAACUCAUCUGAGAGAAUUCACCCAGCAACUGAUGGAAACAUGCAGAGACCCACAGCCACACGUUAGGCCGAGCUCAUGAAACCUUGAGGAAGAGGGGAGAAAGGAUUGAAAAAUCCAGAGAGGGUCAAGGACACCACAAGAAAAUGUACAGAAUCAACUAGCCAGGGCCCCUAGGGCUCACAGACACUGAACCACCAACCAGAGAGCAUGCAAGGGAUGGACCUAGACCGCCUACACAUAUGUAACAGUUGUGCAGCUUGGUCUUCAUGUGAGAUCCUUAACAGCAGGAGCAGGGCCUGCCUUGCUGCCUGCCUCUUGAUCCCUUUCCCCUGACUGAGCUGCCCUGUCUAGCCUCAAGAGAACAUGAGCCUAAUCCUACUGUAACUUGCUAGGCCAAGGUGAGUUGAUAUUCAUGGCAGGUCUCCCCUUCCCUGGGGAGAAAGGUGAGGAGAGAGGGAGGGGCUGGGAAGAGAGGAGGGAAGGGAAGCUCUUAAAUAAAUAAAUUAAUGAGAAAAAGGAUAAAAAUGGCAAAACGGGCUGGAGGGAUGGCUCAGUGGUUGAGAACUCUAGCUGUUCUUACAAACCAUAUGGCAUCUCACAACCACCUGUAACUUCAGUACCAGUGAACAUAUUCCCUCUUCUGGUCUCCAUGGGCACUUACAUGGAAUGAGACAUGUUAAUCCAUGAAAGCACACACACAUAAAGAAAAAAGGACAGUGGAGUUUGACAAAGCCCUGUGGGUAGUAUUGUACUGAGAAAAUUUUUCAAAGACACACAGAGAGGGGAGAGGGAGAGAGAAAAGGAAAGGGGAAGAGAGAGAGAGAGAGAGAACAUUGUUGAUGGGUGAGAAGAGGUGAGGUGUGUUUUCUAUGGUCACAUAUUAGAAUUGUGCUGUGAUGCCUAUGGCUCUGGGAGGUGAGGAGAGGAGGGGAUGGGAGUGGAAGGAAGGGAGAGGAAGGGAGAGAAGGGGAGAAGAAUGGGAGGGGAAGGCAGGAGAGGGUAAGCAGGCUUGUGCAACAGGAAGGAACGCUGUGGCAGAUGGAUGGGAGACAGACGGUGGGAGUAUGAAGAGGAGGGCAGAGGCCACUUCCGGAACACUUUGCACUUGAUAACUUCCUCCUUCAUUAGCCGGUGUGUGACCCCAUGCAGGUGGCUCAGAAGGAUGAAGAAUGCAUGUGAUGGUUCCCCAGGGUACUUAGGGUGCCACUGCUGCUUGUCUGCUGAAGAAAAGCAGAUGGGUGGCCCACAGCUUAUCAAGGAUCAGUGAAAUUCUUGACGUUGUGGAGGUGCUGAGUUGCACCCAUGUGGCCACUCUACUUUUCGAUUUGGGUGAAACCUUCAGCAUGUGAGACAUGUCAGCCAUCAUUCACCUGCAGUUAGGAUGCAUGGGAACUGCCACCCUCCUGUAGGCUUACGUGAGCACUCUCAGCGUGUCUUGGGAGAUGGGGCUGCUGGGCUGGGGUGUUCAGCAGGCUGCAAGUAUUAAAUGUACUUUUAAA